UAUCCUGGUGUCUUAGGCGCAGUGGAACCACACCAAUCCAUCCCGAACUUGGUAGUGAAACAGUGUAGCGGUGAAGAUACUCUAGAGGCCACUCUACGGGAAAAUAGCUCGAUGCCAGGAUC
rnacentral:rRNA from 1 species